rnacentral:sRNA from 1 species
CCUUGAACAGAGAAUUCGCAAUAGAGAAACCCUAAUCAGAAGAGAAGAGAAUAGAAGAUUGAGAAUUAGGGUUUAAGUUUGAUCAGAUUGGAAAAGGCAUCAUGUUUCCAGGGAUGUUCAUGCGGAAGCCAGACAAAGCUGCAGCACUGAAGCAGCUGAAAUCUCACGUUGCCAUGUUCGGCGCAUGGGUUGUUGUUAUUCGAGUCACCCCUUAUGUUCUUCAUUUUCUCAGUGGCGAGAAAGAAGAACUCAAGCUCGAGCUUUGACUUCUCGAUCUUCCUCGCCUGCUCAUCUUGAGGAGUAGGACGGGUCCUGGGACUCGAGACAAUCACGGAGUAAUGUUGUUAUAUAACUCUUGAAAUUGAGGCCAGGAUGGUAUUUUUAGUUUAAUUACAUUUCCUUUUUGCAUUUGGAAUGUACGUUUGUUUGGAUUACUGGUGAGAAAAUAUACAAAUUCAAUAAUCAAUUAUAUUGUUAUAAUUGAUUCUAAGAAAAAUGUGACAGGUGAAGGAUGGUUUUAAGCUAAAUAUAUGCUUUUACUGGUCUACAAGAAUAAUGUUUCAAGAAAUAUAUUUUGUAAUAAAUUAUAAUAAAAGUAUGGAAUUAUUCUUUCCAA